GGGCCUAUGGCUUAAUGGAAAGCGCCGCCGGUCUACGGAACCGGAGAGAAUCCAGGUUCGAUCCUGGUAGGCAGGUCA
rnacentral:tRNA from 1 species